ACGCGCGCUCCGGGGUCGGUGAAAAUCCGAACCGGCGGUGACAGUCCGCGACCCGUCCGCAGCCAGCGGACGGCUGAUCCGGUGGAAUUCCGGGACCGACGGUGAAAGUCCGGAUGGGAGGACGCGCGC
rnacentral:ncRNA from 2 species